rnacentral:siRNA from 1 species
CGGCCUACAAUUCAAAACUAAU